AGUGGCGAACGGGUGAGUAACACGUGAGUAACCUGCCCCUGACUCUGGGAUAAGCGUUGGAAACGACGUCUAAUACUGGAUAUGACUGCUGGCCGCAUGGUCUGGUGGUGGAAAGAUUUUUUGGUUGGGGAUGGACUCGCGGCCUAUCAGCUUGUUGGUGAGGUAAUGGCUCACCAAGGCGACGACGGGUAGCCGGCCUGAGAGGGUGACCGGCCACACUGGGACUGAGACACGGCCCAGACUCCUACGGGAGGCAGCAGUGGGGAAUAUUGCACAAUGGGCGAAAGCCUGAUGCAGCAACGCCGCGUGAGGGAUGACGGCCUUCGGGUUGUAAACCUCUUUUAGUAGGGAAGAAGCGUAAGUGACGGUACCUGCAGAAAAAGCACCGGCUAACUACGUGCCAGCAGCCGCGGUAAUACGUAGGGUGCAAGCGUUGUCCGGAAUUAUUGGGCGUAAAGAGCUCGUAGGCGGUUUGUCGCGUCUGCUGUGAAAUCCCGAGGCUCAACCUCGGGCUUGCAGUGGGUACGGGCAGACUAGAGUGCGGUAGGGGAGAUUGGAAUUCCUGGUGUAGCGGUGGAAUGCGCAGAUAUCAGGAGGAACACCGAUGGCGAAGGCAGAUCUCUGGGCCGUAACUGACGCUGAGGAGCGAAAGCGUGGGGAGCGAACAGGA
rnacentral:rRNA from 1 species